rnacentral:rRNA from 1 species
AUUGAACGCUGGCGGCAGGCCUAACACAUGCAAGUAGAACGAGAGGCGGACGGGUGAGUAAUGACUGGGAAACUGACAGAGGGAGGGGGAUAACUACUGGAAACGGUAGCUAAUAACGCCUACCAUCGGCUGGGCCCAGAUGGGAUGAGCUUGUUGGUGGGGUAAAGGCUCACCAAGGCGACGAUCCCUAGCUGGUCUGAGAGGAGGACCAGCCCGCCUGGAACGGAGACACGGUCCCGACUCCUUCGGGAGUCAGCAGUGGGGAAUAGUGCACAAUGGGCGCAAGCCUGAUGCAGCCAUGCCGCGUGUAUGAAGAAGGCCUUCGGGUUGUAAAGUACUUUCAGCGGGGAGGCGUUACCCGCAGAAGAAGCACCGGCUAACUCCGUGCCAGCAGCCGCGGUAAUUC